rnacentral:rRNA from 1 species
AUUGAACGCUGGCGGCAGGCCUAACACAUGCAAGUCGAGCGGAGCGGCGGACGGGUGAGUAAUGCCUAGGAAUCUGCCUGGUAGUGGGGGAUAACGUCAGGAAACGGGCGCUAAUACCGCAUACUAUCUGAUGAGCCUAGGUCGGAUUAGCUAGUUGGUGGGGUAAAGGCCUACCAAGGCGACGAACCGUAACUGGUCUGAGAGGAUGAUCAGUAACGCUGAAACGGAGACACGGUCCAGACGCAUACGGGAGGCAGCAGGGGGGAAUAUGGGACAAGGAGGGAGAGCCUGAUGCAGCCAUGCCGGGUGUUGGAAGAAGGUAUUAGGAUUGUAAAGCUCUUUAAGUUGGGAGGCGUUACCAAAAGAAUAAGCGCCGGCUAACUUCGUGCCAGCAGCCGCGGUAAUAC